AUAAAAAGGCCAAAUUAACUGGACUUAAAACAUAACGGGUUAUAACUUCCCGAACCCGUUAAAGUAACUAGGAGUAAUUAACCUAGUUAGUAACAUGUGACUAAAUAAAUAAUGAAUUAUAGUUUCAUUUGAUCAAAAUAAAAACAUGAGGGACUAAAAAGGGGCAAUUGUGAAAGUUGUAUGAUUAAAACAAAAAUAAACCACACCAAACACACACUUAGUGUGUGUCUGGUCGAUGUUAAACACAGGGGGCGACCAGGUUUCUCCAUCAAACCCCAAAUCUCCCAAAAUUCACAAAUUGAAGCCUCUAAUCUGCUCCAAAUCAAGUUUCAAGCAUGAAUUAGUGAUCAUCUCGUUGCGGGGAUCAAAAGUUUGACGCGUAACAAGCUAGGUGGAAGCUUGAUGAGGGAGCGGGUCAAACGAAUCAAGAAGGAAAGGAAAAAGCAUAGUUCGGACACGAGGUAAGUAUAUCUUACACUAGUCAUAUAUUUCAUAAUAUCCUUUUGUCGUAUUACGAAAAAGAUAAUUUAUGACGUAAGCCAUAGUAGGCUAAAAAGUGUUAAGAAAUGGAAUUAUAAGCAAGUGACCGCACGGUGUAAAUCGGAGCGAGUCAUAUAUAUAUUUACGAGGUGGUAAUAAAUAUCAUCUCGCUAAUAUAAUCGGUCAAUUCGGCCAAACGGGUCAAAAGGUGAAAUUAUCACCCUUUGACAAUAUCGACUAAUGGGUUGUCAAGAUGCAUGAUUUUAGGAAAUAAAUAGCACAUGGAUGCUUACAUCGCUAUCGCUUAGCAGCCACUAAGGAAAUGUAUUGAAACGGGUCAAUAUAUUGAUCCGAGCCAGGUGAAGAUGGGAUAAGCGGUUUGAAAGAUACGAAAGUUUUCGUGCAAAUAAACGGCAAAAUAGGAAAGCUGGAAUGCAGGGGCCACC